rnacentral:ncRNA from 2 species
UUCUUAUCGCGAGAGAUGGAGGGAAGUGGCCCUAUGAAAUCUCAGCAACCAGCCUAACAAGGUCAGGUGCUAAAUCCAUCAAGUUUUUUUGAAAACUUGAAAGAUAAGAA